UGGGGAAUUGUUCGCAAUGGGCGCAAGCCUGACGACGCAACGCCGCGUGGAGGAUGAAGAUCUUCGGGUCGUAAACUCCUGUCGAAUGGGACGAACGGGUGGCGGGUGAAUAACCCGCGACCGUGACGGUACUGUUAAAGGAAACCCCGGUUAACUCCGUGCCAGCAGCCGCGGUAAUACGGGGGGGGUAAGCGUUGUUCGGAAUUACUGGGCGUAAAGGGCUCGUAGGCGGCCAACUAAGUCAGACGUGAAAUCCCUCAGCUUAACUGGGGAACUGCGUCUGAUACUGGAUGGCUUGGAUCCGGAAGAGGGAUGCGGAAUUCCAGGUGUAGCGGUGAAAUGCGUAGAUAUCUGGAGGAACACCGGUGGCGAAGGCGGCAUCCUGGGCCGGUAUUGACGCUGAGGAGCGAAAGCCAGGGGAGCAAACGG
rnacentral:rRNA from 1 species